rnacentral:tRNA from 1 species
GGGGUUGUGGCUUAAAGGUAGAGCGCUUGCCUAGGAUGCAUGAGGCACUGGGUUCGAUCUCCAGCACCACA